rnacentral:rRNA from 1 species
UACAGAGGUCCCGAGCGUUGUUCGGAUUCAUUGGGCGUAAAGGGUGCGCAGGUGGCGGGGGAAGUCUGAUGUGAAAUCCCGGGGCUCAACUCCGGAACUGCAUUGGAUACUGCCUCGCUUGAGUACUGGAGAGGAGACUGGAAUUUACGGUGUAGCAGUGAAAUGCGUAGAGAUCGUAAGGAAGACCAGUGGCGAAGGCGAGUCUCUGGACAGUUACUGACACUGAGGCACGAAGGCCAGGGGAGCAAACGGG